rnacentral:rRNA from 1 species
UUCGCAAUGCCCGAAAGGGUGACGAAGCGACGCCGCGUGUGGGAAGAAGGCCUUCGGGUUGUAAACCACUGUCGGGAGUUAAGAAAUGCAAGAAUAUGAAUAGUGUUUUUGCUUGACUAAGGCUCCGGAGGAAGCCACGGCUAACUCUGUGCCAGCAGCCGCGGUAAUACAGAGGCGGCAAGCGUUGUUCGGAAUUAUUGGGCGUAAAGAGCACGUAGGCGGCUAUGUAAGUCGGUUGUGAAAGCCUUCCGCUCAACGGGAGAACGGCAUCCGAUACUACAUGGCUUGAGUGCGGGAGGGGAGAGUGGAACUUCUGGUGGAGCGGUGAAAUGCGUAGAUAUCAGAAGGAACGCCGGCGGCGAAAGCGGCUCUCUGGCCCAUAACUGACGCUGAGUGUGCGAAAGCUAGGGGAGCAAACGGGAUUAGAUACCCCGGUAGUCCUAGCCGUAAACGAUGGGCACUAAGUAGAGGGGUUUU